rnacentral:lncRNA from 1 species
GGAUAACAGUUGAGAGUCCAGCCCAUGCAACAACUAACUCUGCAUAUAAAAUAGGUGAAAUAUGCAAGAUCUUGUCUUACACACAAAUUAACCUCCAAUUAUGAUCUCUAAGUAUGAAUCCUGCAGCUGCUGCAUCAUGAGAUACAAAUCCAUCAAAAUUAAGCUUAAUAACACCUAGGGGAGCUAGGGGGCAGCCAAGCAACAUACGGUGAUGAAAAGUUAAUUAGAUGAUGUAGGCAAGCGAGCACCACCCC